rnacentral:rRNA from 1 species
GGGGAUAACCAUUGGAAACGAUGGCUAAUACCGCAUGAUGCCUACGGGCCAAAGAGGGGGACCUUCGGGCCUCUCGCGUCAGGAUAUGCCUAGGUGGGAUUAGCUAGUUGGUGAGGUAAGGGCUCACCAAGGCGACGAUCCCUAGCUGGUCUGAGAGGAUGAUCAGCCACACUGGAACUGAGACACGGUCCAGACUCCUACGGGAGGCAGCAGUGGGGAAUAUUGCACAAUGGGCGCAAGCCUGAUGCAGCCAUGCCGCGUGUGUGAAGAAGGCCUUCGGGUUGUAAAGCACUUUCAGUCGUGAGGAAGGUAGUGUAGUUAAUAGCUGCAUUAUUUGACGUUAGCGACAGAAGAAGCACCGGCUAACUCCGUGCCAGCAGCCGCGGUAAUACGGAGGGUGCGAGCGUUAAUCGGAAUUACUGGGCGUAAAGCGCAUGCAGGUGGUUUGUUAAGUCAGAUGUGAAAGCCCGGGGCUCAACCUCGGAAUAGCAUUUGAAACUGGCAGACUAGAGUACUGUAGAGGGGGGUAGAAUUUCAGGUGUAGCGGUGAAAUGCGUAGAGAUCUGAAGGAAUACCGGUGGCGAAGGCGGCCCCCUGGACAGAUACUGACACUCAGAUGCGAAAGCGUGGGGAGCAAACAGGAUUAGAUACCCUGGUAGUCCACGCCGUAAACGAUGUCUACUUGGAGGUUGUGGCCUUGAGCCGUGGCUUUCGGAGCUAACGCGUUAAGUAGACCGCCUGGGGAGUACGGUCGCAAGAUUAAAACUCAAAUGAAUUGACGGGGGCCCGCACAAGCGGUGGAGCAUGUGGUUUAAUUCGAUGCAACGCGAAGAACCUUACCUACUCUUGACAUCCAGAGAACUUUCCAGAGAUGGAUUGGUGCCUUCGGGAACUCUGAGACAG